UUUUUUCUUUUUUUUUUUUGGCGGUAAAGACUAUAUUAUUAUUGGAGCUAACUCAGCUAAGAAACAGUGAAGUGAGUCAGCAAACAGAAACCAGAAAAUUACACAAGCAAGAAAAAAAAAAGCAAAAAUAAAGAACCAAAACACCACUCAACUUGAUUGACACACAGAAAAUAAAGUGAAAUUCUGUGAUCUGAUGAAAUCAAAGCUUUGAUCUUUGCUGUUAAACUAAGCCAAUCUUCCAUCCCUCCCAAUGGGUCGCCUUGUCCUCUUUCUCACUAUCAUCGUCUUCUUCGCAUUCUCUUUCUUCUCAGAGGUACAAUCAGCGUCGUUCAGGGUUAUUAACAAGUGCCGCCACCCAAUAUGGCCUGGGCUUCUCUCCGGCGCCACCUCGCCGCCGCUACCGACCACCGGCUUUCUCCUCAGCGCCGGAAGAUCGAGGACAAUCACCAUCCCAAGGUCCUGGUCGGGUCGGAUUUGGGCGAGGACACUCUGCGGCCAAGACUCCGACGGAAAGUUCUCCUGCGUCACCGCAGACUGCGGCUCCGGCAAGGUGGAGUGUGGUGGCGGGGGAGCAAAGCCGCCGGCAACAUUAGCGGAGUUCACUCUCAACGGAGCUGACGGGCUUGACUUCUAUGACGUGAGCCUGGUCGACGGUUACAACCUUCCGAUGCUGAUCGUGGCUCAGGGAGGGACGAGAGGAGGGUGCAGCGCCACCGGGUGCCUGGUGGACUUGAACGGCGCGUGUCCUUCAGAUCUGAGAGUGGCGCGUGGGAAUGGAACUAAAAGUGGUAGAGGUGGUGGGGUCGCGUGCAGAAGCGCGUGUGAGGCGUUUGGGGACCCAAGGUAUUGUUGCAGUGAGGCUUACUCUACGCCUGACACGUGUGGCCCUUCAGCUUACUCGCUUUACUUCAAACACGCUUGCCCACGCGCGUAUAGCUACGCGUAUGAUGACAAAACCAGCACUUACACGUGUGCUUCCGCUAAUUACUUAAUCAUUUUCUGCCCUUUGCCUUACACCAGGUAUUUCUCUCGGUCAAAAUAACUAUUUUGACCAUAUAAAAUAUUGCUGUGUAUUAGUAUUAUUAUAUUCCUAAGGUGCGUUAGUUGAUAAUUGUGAGUGAGGCAACUGGGCAAUUCUUUAUGUUUUUAGUGCAUGAUUGGUGUGGAAGCUUAUUGAAGCCAAAAGGUGCUUGGAGCAAGAAAAGAUGGCGCGCCGCUUCCUCUGGUAAACAAAACUAUGAUGUACUUAUCAAGGCCACACUCUGGCAGUUCUUCAUCCUCAGGCAGAUAGUGAGGCUCAAUCUUAGUUCUACCAACUGUAAGAGCUCUUCAAUCUUCAUUAAAGUAUCAAAUGGCUGGUGCUGAUUCCACUCAAUCAUGCAGGACUUGAAGGAUAUGAUGUAGGAAACAUUGUAAAUUUCUUUUAACUUUUUUAUGUCAUAUCGUUUCUUUGACGUUAACAUUGCAAUAUCCUCUAUUCCGAUUUUUAUGAUGAGAGAGGCUUAAAGAAUUUCCAAGUAGUAGUACUCUGGAGUCGGAUUUUGCAAGUUAUGAGAGGCUCUAUGGUACUUCAGACUUUAUAUAACUACAACAAAGUACUGUGUACAUUGAAGUUUAUGGAUUGAUGUUUUGUGCA